CCAGCAGACUGGCUUUGUGAAAAAAAGAGUUGUAAUUGUUUUUGCUUGAUUGUUGUUUCAGGUAAGAGUGAAUUUGGCUACAAGUAAUGGUGCAGUGGCUGGUUCCUGGCAGUGGCUCCAAUCUCUUUGGGGUUGUUUCCCACGGAUGUGAAGGAGCUGAGAACUUGAGGAAGGUGAUGCCUCCUCGCUAGGUGCCUGCCUAUGACUGAGGAUCAUUAGUAAGUACGCAGUAAACAUCGAAGAAGUUGGGUGGUCAUACUGGUUAUGGGAAGAGGAGAAGCAGUGGAAGAUGGCCUGGAGGGGCGGGGCUGGGGCCAGAUCAUGGAACAUGUGGAAUUUGAAUCAAUUUGAACUUUAGCUUUCAGGCAGUGAGCCCAAGACAAUUUGGGAAGCCAUAUCGACUGUCUACAAAAAAGUUAAAAAGGGCAAGAACUAGAUCUUAAAGUGAGAGAGAGUACAG
rnacentral:lncRNA from 1 species